GUGGCUGUAGCUCAGUUGGCUUAGAGCGUCAGGUUGUGGACCUGAAUGUCGGGGGUUCAAAUCCCCUCAGCCACCCCA
rnacentral:tRNA from 1 species